rnacentral:rRNA from 1 species
UACGUAGGGUGCAAGCGUUGUCCGGAAUUAUUGGGCGUAAAGAGCUCGUAGGCGGUCUGUCGCGUCGGCUGUGAAAUCCCGAGGCUCAACCUCGGGUCUGCAGUCGAUACGAGCAAACUAGAGUGUUGCAGGGGAGACUGGAAUUCCUGGUGUAGCGGUGAAAUGCGCAGAUAUCAGGAGGAACACCCGUGGCGAAGGCGGUUCUCUGGGACGGUACUGACGCUGAGACGCGAAAGCGUGGGGAGCGAACAGG